rnacentral:rRNA from 1 species
UCUGGUUGAUCCUGCCAGUAGUCAUAUGCUUGUCUCAAAGAUUAAGCCAUGCAUGUCUAAGUACAAACCUUAAUACGGUGAAACCGCGAAUGGCUCAUUAAAUCAGCUAUGGUUCCUUAGAUCGUCUCAUCCUACUCGGAUAACUGUGGAAAAUCUAGAGCUAAUACGUGCUUACAAGCCCUGACCUCACGGGAGGGGCGCAUUUAUUAGAUCAAAACCAAUCGGGGCUUGCCCCGUCUGCUUGGUGACUCUGGAUAACUUUUGUGCUGAUCGCAUGGCCUCUGCGCUGGCGACGUAUCUUUCAAGUGUCUGCCCUAUCAACUUACGAUGGUAGGUGAUAUGCCUACCAUGGUUAUAACGGGUAACGGGGAAUCAGGGUUCGAUUCCGGAGAGGGAGCCUGAGAAACGGCUACCACAUCUAAGGAAGGCAGCAGGCGCGCAAAUUACCCACUCCCGGCACGGGGAGGUAGUGACGAAAAAUAACGAUACGGGACUCUUUUGAGGCCCCGUAAUUGGAAUGAGUACACUUUAAAUCCGUUAACAAGUAUCUAUUGGAGGGCAAGUCUGGUGCCAGCAGCCGCGGUAAUUCCAGCUCCAAUAGCGUAUAUUAAUGUUGCUGCAGUUAAAAAGCUCGUAGUUGGAUCUGAGGACUCGAAUUGGUGGUGCACCAUACGGUGUUACUGCCGAUUCGGCCUACCUAGUCGGUGCUCGCUCUUGGUGUUCUUAAUUGAAUGCCCUGAGUGCCCGGCAAGUUUACUUUGAAAAAAUUAGAGUGCUCAAAGCAGGCCAUUAGCCGGAAUACUUCAGCAUGGAAUAAUGGAAUAGGACUUCGGUUCUAUUUUGUUGGUUUUCGGAACCCGAGGUAAUGAUUAAGAGAGACAGACGGGGGCAUUCGUACUGCGGUGUUAGAGGUGAAAUUCUUGGAUCGCCGCAAGACGAACAACUGCGAAAGCAUUUGCCAAGAAUGUUUUCAUUAAUCAAGAACGAAAGUCAGAGGUUCGAAGACGAUCAGAUACCGUCCUAGUUCUGACCAUAAACGAUGCCAACUGGCGAUCCGAGAUCGUUUGCUUAUUGACCUCUCGGGCAGCCUCCGGGAAACCAAAGUUUUUAGGUUCCGGGGGAAGUAUGGUUGCAAAGCUGGAACUGGAAUUGCUGGUGUCUUUCCUCUGCCUGACCCUGGAAAAGUCGGUAGGGUUUCCGGCCUUGUGCUCUUUCCUUACUGUUCUCUGUAACGCCGAAGGCGGGGCUUCCACGGUGGGGAAGCGGUUGUACAAAUCCGGCAAAUCCAGCCAAAUGGGUUCCGGACUCUGUCCAACCUGCAACUGGUAACAGCCUCGGCUGGCUAACAUUUGAGCUGGGACUCGCUUGGGAGGAGCGAGGAUAAUAUAAACCUCUAUGUGACUGAGGUGAGGAAUCUGGUUCUCGUAAAAUGGCUGGAGAUCCCGAGCCUGUAAGUCAUAAAUUAGUUCCCCCACGAGGGGAGGUGUCGAAUUGAAGCCAGUGCGUGCCCUUACUAGUUUAAGGGAUUGUAUACUUCCUUUGGUGUACCCACCUGGAAGUGCCCAAGGGGUCCUAUCCCUGCACUCCAUCCCCGAUUGGAGUCAGGUGACGGCUCCUUA